rnacentral:lncRNA from 1 species
CGCCGCUCAUCCAAUAUUCUAUAACCUAGUGAAAGAACAUUUGAGUUCAUCCCCUCCAAACCGCUGCGAAGGUGAUUUCAAAACAAAUUGAUUCCCGGUACCUAAAUGCGAUAUCUGUCGAGUCUUUUAAUUUCUCGAAGGGUUCUGGUCAAUUGUGCACCUUCAACUCGCGACAGCUAGGGCUUUGAAGGAGUAAGUAUGUCGCCUGAAUGAUGUUUUAAUCCUUUAUUUUUUUGGAUAAAUUGCUUGGGAAAGAAAAUUUCGCUUUGCUAAGAUUUGUCUUCAUUAAGCAGUGCAAAUUUCUUUGGGAUGGUAGGGUUUUUGACUGAGUGGAAUUUUUUUUUUCCAGCUCCACAUCCAUUUGAAGGCUUCUGUUCUAUUGGGGAUCUUUGACUCGCGACAACUAGGUAUUUUGAUUUUUUCGAAUGAAUUCCUGAUAUGUUGGUCAUUGAUUUUUUCGGAUGCAAUAUGUUUGGUCAUUGAUUUUUUUCGAAUGAAUUCUUGAUAUUUUGUUGCACUUUGACAAUUGAAGUAUGAUGUGUCAUCGAUUACCUUUUGUUUCUGUUCUGUUUAUUUGAAUUCGUGAUAUA